rnacentral:lncRNA from 1 species
AAUUCUGAAGCCCAAAUCUCUCUCAUCUCUUUUCCCACACGCCUCUCUUCAUCCUUUACCUCUUUCAUGCCAACUUUCAAACUCCAUCUGCCAUAGACAAAGCUUGUCCCUCUAUUUUGGUGAAAAUUAUCCUUCUCUCUAUAUAUUAUCGCCUUAGACAUUUUGUCUCUUUAUCCUCAACGUAUCUUCUUUAAUGAUUUGGUCAACAAAAGAGCCAAAAGAACCUUUUUAGAAAAUCAGAUUUGGGAAACAGCUCUUUCAAACCGUGACCCUCUCAUUUUGAGUUUCAAACUCAAUCUCUAAGCCUAGAAUGUUCCCCUGUAAAUACUAUUGUUUUCUACAAGUGAAAGGAUGAAUUUUUUUGGGCGGCCACCAUUUUUGAACUUUAGGUUUCAGCCGCCUACUUCACUUUAAAGCUUGAACAGGGACCAGAAAAAGUUUCUCUCAGCUCAAUCUUUCAAUCUUGAUCUUUCUUUUAGCACUUACAGUCUCGUCGCUCAACUCUUGUCUUGUGGAGUAGAUCCAAAACCUCGAAAGUUCCAGUUCACUGCACCACAAGAGACGUUACAGCCAUGCCUGAAAGCCAUAUCUUUAGGAUUUUAAGUGAAGAAGAUAUGUCAAUGUAUGGUAUCCUCACCUUGUAAAACAUUUGCUGAUAUGUCUAAGUCUCAUUUUCAAAGGAUAUAUUCUUGUAACUAUUUUACUAUCUAAAGAUAAGAUACGCCUAAGGAUUAUCUUGAACAUGUCUACAUACAGUAUCCUCAUGAUAGUGUGAAGUAUUGAUAAUGGUUACUUUGAUGAUGUAGAAAUGCCUACAUAUUACAUUUGACUAUGACCGUAUGAGUAUCUAUGGCCUGUUUAGUUUUUUUCUUCUUUUUGUUUCUUAUUUGAUACUCUGUUAAAAUAAGAUUUUACCCUUUUAAUUGUUUCCUUUCUCUUUGUUUUGUAUGACACACUGGAGCCGAAGAGUUUCAUGGUGAGACUCAAGGAUGCCGCUGUUGCAUAGAGACUGCACAUCCUCAUCGAAAAUCUUCUGGGAGCUGCACAUGGCUCUUGAACCUUCUCUUUCACUUUCACUUAUUUGCUUAUUCGUUGUGUGAUUAGCUAGUUUUAUCUUUUAGUUGUCUUAUUAACUAGUUUUAUCCUUUAGCUAUGUGAUCGGCCAUUAAGAUGUAAAUUUACUAUGUAAUCAUAGUCUUAACGGUGCAGAUUUU